AUAUGUUCCAAGAACCCCAGUGGAUGCCUGAAACCAUAGAUAGUACUGAACCCCAUUUUCACUAUUUUUCCCCAUAUAUACUUAUGAUACAGUUUAAUUUCUAAAAUAAGCACAGUAAGAGAUUAACAAUAAAAUAGAACGAUUAUAACAAUAUACUAUUUUAUGUGAAUGUGGUACUUCCCUCUGCAGCUCUCUUUCAAAAUAUCUUAUUGUACUGUACUUACCCUUCUUGUGAUAAUGAGAUAAAAUGCCUAGUGAUGAGCUGAAAUGUGAAUGACACAGGCAUUGUGACGCAGGAUUGUGACAGCGUUAGGCUACUAUUGACCUUCUGCUGAUUCGUCAGAAGGAGAACCUGCUUCCUGACUGUAACUGACAGCAGCAAUGGAUAACAGACUGUGGAAAGUGAAACCAGAAACCACUACGGAUAUUCUGAAGCAUGGAUUCCUUUCUAAAUGCCAAGGGACAGUAGUUAUUCAAAAGAGCUAAGACACAGCAUUAGGGGUGACAAGGAGCCCUCUCGGUGGCCAUGGAAAUGAAGAGUGAAGAGGUAGGUUCCAUCUCUUACCCAACUAUACCUGGGGCAUCUUUGUUUUAAUCUGUUUUAUGUAUUGAGCUUUCCUGAAAUAUUUCAUUUGAACACAGAGUCCUAAAAUUUUUAAAAGUUUGAAAAUCCAACAGCAAAAAUAUAAACCCAAUUAAAAAAUAGGAAAAGGACUUGAACCUU
rnacentral:lncRNA from 1 species